GACGAACGCUGGCGGCGUGCUUAACACAUGCAAGUCGAACGGAGAGGCCCUGCUUUUGUGGGGUGCUCGAGUGGCGAACGGGUGAGUAACACGUGAUUAACCUGCCCUUGACUUUGGGAUAACUUCAGGAAACUGGGGCUAAUACCGGAUAGGAGCUCCUGCUGCUUUUUUUGGGUUGGAAAGUUUCGGCGGUUGGGGAUGGACUCGCGGCUUUUCAGCUUGUUGGUGGGGUAGUGGCUUACCAAGGCCUUGACGGGUAGCCGCCCUGAGAGGGUGAUGGGCACAUUGGGACUGAGAUAGGGCCCAGACUCCUACGGGAGGCAGGCGUGGGGAAUAAUGCACAAUGGGCGGAAGCCUGAUGCAGCAACGCCGCGUGCGGGAUGACGGCCUUCGGGUUGUAAACCGCUUUCGCCUGUGACGAAGCGUGCGUGACGGUAAUGGGUAAAGAAGCACCGGCUAACUACGUG
rnacentral:rRNA from 1 species